CCCAGACUCCUACGGGAGGCAGCAGUGGGGAAUAUUGCACAAUGGGGGAAACCCUGAUGCAGCAACGCCGCGUGAGUGAAGAAGUAUUUCGGUAUGUAAAGCUCUCUCAGCAGGGAAGAGAAUGACGGUACCUGACUAAGAAGCCCCGGCUAACUACGUGCCAGCAGCCGCGGUAAUACGUAGGGGGCGAGCGUUAUCCGGAUUUACUGGGUGUAAAGGGAGCGUAGACGGUUCUGCAAGUCUGAAGUGAAAGCCCGUGGCUUAACCGCGGAACGGCUUUGGAAACUGUGGAACUGGAGUGCUGGAGAGGCAAGCGGAAUUCCUAGUGUAGCGGUGAAAUGCGUAGAUAUUAGGAGGAACACCAGUGGCGAAGGCGGCUUACUGGACUGUAACUGACGUUGAGGCUCGAAAGCGAGGGGAGCAAACAGGAUUAGAUACCCGGGUAA
rnacentral:rRNA from 1 species